CAUCGCCUCUUGCCCUCAUAAGAGGUCCAGCCUGCCCAGUGACUUUAUUUAACGGCCGCGGUAUUCUAACCGUGCAAAGGUAGCGUAAUCACUUGUCUUCUAAAUAAAGACCAGUAUGAAAGGCACCACGAAGACUAAACUGUCUCCUUUCUCCAAUCAGUGAACCUAAUCUCCCCGUGAAGAAGCGGGGAUCCUACUAUAAGACGAGAAGACCCUAUGGAGCUUAAAACAUCAUAACAUUUGCUACUACUUAUAACCACUCCGGUCUAUCUCUUAAACAGCAUCCUGAUUAUAUGUUUUUGGUUGGGGUGACCGCGGAGAAAAACUCAUCCUCCACAGUAAGGGACCUCCUCCCAAGCAAUAAGUUACAACUUUAUGCAUCAAAAUUUGACAUUUAUUGACCCAACAAAUUGAUUAACGAACCAAGUUACCCUGGGGAUAACAGCACAAUCCACUUUGAGAGCCCAUAUCGACAAGUGGGCUUAUGACCUCGAUGUUGGAUCGGGAUAUCCUAGUGGUGCAACCGCUACUAAAGGUUCGUUUGUUCAACGAUUAAAACCCC
rnacentral:rRNA from 1 species